UGUUUCGGCUAGGGGGUCAUCCCGACUUACCAACCCGAUGCAAACUGCGAAUACCGAAGAAUGUUAUCACGGGAGACACACGGCGGGUGCUAACGUCCGUCGUGAAGAGGGAAACAACCCAGACCGCCAGCUAAGGUCCCAAAGUCAUGGUUAAGUGGGAAACGAUGUGGGAAGGCACAGACAGCCAGGAUGUUGGCUUAGAAGCAGCCAUCAUUUAAAGAAAGCGUAAUAGCUCACUGGUCGAGUCGGCCUGCGCGGAAGAUGUAACGGGGCUAAACCAUGCACCGAAGCUGCGGCAGCGACACUAUGUGUUGUUGGGUAGGGGAGCGUUCUGUAAGCCGUUGAAGGUGUCCUGUGAGGGAUGCUGGAGGUAUCAGAAGUGCGAAUGCUGACAUAAGUAACGAUAAUGCGGGUGAAAAACCCGCACGCCGGAAGACCAAGGGUUCCUGUCCAACGUUAAUCGGGGCAGGGUGAGUCGACCCCUAAGGCGAGGCCGAAAGGCGUAGUCGAUGGGAAACAGGUUAAUAUUCCUGUACUUGGUGUUACUGCGAAGGGGGGACGGAGAAGGCUAUGUUGGCCGGGCGACGGUUGUCCCGGUUUAAGCGUGUAGGUGUGUGUUCCAGGUAAAUCCGGUUCACUUUAACACUGAGGCGUGAUGACGAGGCACUACGGUGCUGAAGUGACAAAUGCCCUGCUUCCAGGAAAAGCCUCUAAGCAUCAGGUAACACGAAAUCGUACCCCAAACCGACACAGGUGGUCAGGUAGAGAAUACCAAGGCGCUUGAGAGAACUCGGGUGAAGGAACUAGGCAAAAUGGUGCCGUAACUUCGGGAGAAGG
rnacentral:rRNA from 1 species